GCCCCCAUCGUCUAGUGGACUAGGACACCGCGUUCUCAGCGCGGAAACACCGGUUCGACUCCGGUUGGGGGCG
rnacentral:tRNA from 1 species